ACUAUUCUAGCUCAGUUGGUAGAGCAUGGUGUUUGCAACGCCAGGGUUGUGAGUUUGAUUCCCACGGGGGGCC
rnacentral:tRNA from 1 species